AGUGGUUCUCAAUAGUUCAACA
rnacentral:miRNA from 1 species